GAUGAACGCUAGCGGCAGGCUUAACACAUGCAAGUCGAGGGGUAUAGUUCUUCGGAACUAGAGACCGGCGCACGGGUGCGUAACGCGUAUGCAAUCUACCUUUUACAGGGGGAUAGCCCAGAGAAAUUUGGAUUAAUACCCCAUAGUAUGUUAGAGUGGCAUCAUUUUAACAUUAAAGUUCCAACGGUAAAAGAUGAGCAUGCGUCCCAUUAGAUAGAUGGUAAGGUAACGGCUUACCAUGGCGACGAUGGGUAGGGGUCCUGAGAGGGGGAUCCCCGACACAGGGACUGAGACACGGACCAGACUCCUACGGGAGGCAGCAGUGAGGAAUAUUGGACAAGGGGCGCAAGCCUGAUCCAGCCAUGCCGCGUGCAGGAAGACGGUCCUAUGGAUUGUAAACUGCUUUCGUACAGGAAGAAACACUCCCUCGUGAGGGAGCUUGACGGUACUGUAAGAAUAAGGAUCGGCUAACUCCGUGCCAGCCGCCGCCGUAACAC
rnacentral:rRNA from 1 species